GAUGAACGCUGGCGGCGUGCCUAAUACAUGCAAGUCGAGCGAACGGACGAGAAGCUUGCUUCUCUGAUGUUAGCGGCGGACGGGUAAGUAACACGUGGAUAACCUACCUAUAAGACUGGGAUAACUUCGGGAAACCGGAGCUAAUACCGGAUAAUAUUUUGAACCGCAUGGUUCAAAAGUGAAAGACGGUCUUGCUGUCACUUAUAGAUGGAUCCGCGCUGCAUUAGCUAGUUGGUAAGGUAACGGCUUACCAAGGCAACGAUGCAUAGCCGACCUGAGAGGGUGAUCGGCCACCCUGGAACUGAGACACGGUCCAGACUCCUACGGGAGGCAGCAGUAGGGAAUCUUCCGCAAUGGGCGAAAGCCUGACGGAGCAACGCCGCGUGAGUGAUGAAGGUCUUCGGAUCGUAAAACUCUGUUAUUAGGGAAGAACAUAUGUGUAAGUAACUGUGCACAUCUUGACGGUACCUAAUCAGAAAGCCACGGCUAACUACGUG
rnacentral:rRNA from 1 species